rnacentral:rRNA from 1 species
UAGGGAAUCUUCCGCAAUGGGCGAAAGCCUGACGGAGCAACGCCGCGUGAGUGAUGAAGGUCUUCGGAUCGUAAAACUCUGUUAUUAGGGAAGAACAAAUGUGUAAGUAACUAUGCACGUCUUGACGGUACCUAAUCAGAAAGCCACGGCUAACUACGUGCCAGCAGCCGCGGUAAUACGUAGGUGGCAAGCGUUAUCCGGAAUUAUUGGGCGUAAAGCGCGCGUAGGCGGUUUUUUAAGUCUGAUGUGAAAGCCCACGGCUCAACCGUGGAGGGUCAUUGGAAACUGGAAAACUUGAGUGCAGAAGAGGAAAGUGGAAUUCCAUGUGUAGCGGUGAAAUGCGCAGAGAUAUGGAGGAACACCAGUGGCGAAGGCGACUUUCUGGUCUGUAACUGACGCUGAUGUGCGAAAGCGUGGGGAUCGAACAGG